AACGAACGCUGGCGGCAUGCCUAACACAUGCAAGUCGAACGAGACCUUCGGGUCUAGUGGCGCACGGGUGCGUAACGCGUGGGAACCUGCCCUUAGGUUCGGAAUAACUCCCCGGAAGGGGUGCUAAUACCGGGUAAUGUCAUCGGACCAAAGAUUUAUCGCCUUUGGAUGGGCCCGCGUUGGAUUAGCUAGUUGGUAGGGUAAAAGCCUACCAAGGCGGCGAUCCAUAGCUGGUCUGAGAGGAUGAUCAGCGACACUGGGACGGAGACGCGGCCCAGACGACGACGGGAGGCAGCAGUGGGGAAUAUUGGACAAUGGGCGAAAGCCUGAUCCAGCAAGGCCGCGUGAGUGAUUAAGGCCGUAGGGUUGUAAAGCUCUUGUAGCCGGGAUGAUAAUGACAGUACCGGGAGAAGAAGCACCGGCUAACUCCGUG
rnacentral:rRNA from 1 species